GCUACUAGAUUUAAUGUGUAUUUGGGAUGAUUAAUCCCGUCUGUCUUUUCUAUAUGAAUGCAGGCAAAGGAAGUCCGAAGGUUGGCCGACAAUAUGGUUCAGCUUGGAAAGGAGGGAAGUCUAUCUGCUGCAAGACAGGCAGCUGCCUUUGUGCGUGGGGAUGAUGUCAUUCAUAAGCUAUUUACUGAAUUGGCUUACCGAUACAAAGAUAGAGCUGGUGGAUACACGAGAAUGCUCCGAACUCGAAUUCGAGUAGGUGAUGCUGCACCAAUGGCCUAUANUAAAAG